GACGAACGCUGGCGGCGUGCCUAAUACAUGCAAGUAGGACGCACAGUCUAUACCGUAGCUUGCUACACCAUAGGCUGUGAGUUGCGAACGGGUGAGUAACGCGUAGGUAACCUGCCUAUUAGAGGGGGAUAACUAUUGGAAACGAUAGCUAAUACCGCAUAACAGUAUGUAACACAUGUUAGAUGCUUGAAAGAUGCAAUUGCAUCGCUAGUAGAUGGACCUGCGUUGUAUUAGCUAGUAGGUAGGGUAAUGGCCUACCUAGGCGACGAUACAUAGCCGACCUGAGAGGGUGGUCGGCCAAACUGGGACUGGGACACGGCCCAGACUCCUACGGGAGGCAGCAGUAGGGAAUCUUCGGCAAUGGGGGGAACCCUGACCGAGCAACGCCGCGUGAGUGAAGAAGGGUUUCGGAUCGUAAAGCUCUGUUGUUAAGGAAGAACGAGCGUGAGAAUGGAAAGUUCAUACUGUGACGGUACUUAACCAGAAAGGGACGGCUAACUACGUG
rnacentral:rRNA from 1 species